rnacentral:rRNA from 1 species
AUUGAACGCUGGCGGCAUGCUUUACACAUGCAAGUCGAACGGCAACAGGGAGCUUGCUCCGCCGACGAGUGGCGAACGGGUGAGUAAUGCGUCGGAACGUGCCGAGUAGUGGGGGAUAACGCAUCGAAAGGUGUGCUAAUACCGCAUACGUACUGAGGUAGAAAGUGGGGGACCUUCGGGCCUCACGCUAUUCGAGCGGCCGACGUCUGAUUAGCUAGUUGGUGAGGUAAAGGCUCACCAAGGCGACGAUCAGUAGCGGGUCUGAGAGGGUGAUCCGCCACACUGGGACUGAGACACGGCCCAGACUCCUACGGGAGGCAGCAGUGGGGAAUUUUGGACAAUGGGCGCAAGCCUGAUCCAGCCAUGCCGCGUGUCUGAAGAAGGCCUUCGGGUUGUAAAGGACUUUUGUCCGGGAGCAAAUGCUGGUGGCUAACAUCCACCGGAGCUGAGAGUACCGGAAGAAUAAGCACCGGCUAACUACGUGCCAGCAGCCGCCGUAAAAC